CUACUUAUCCCGUUACAGCUCCUGGUGAGAAGGGCGAAGCCAUGUCAGAAAUAAUAGAAAAGGCUUUUUCCUUUGAAAUAUCUAAACGUUCAAAGAUGGGAACAGCCGCAGGGGGGAGAAUACUGUGCUAUGCAAGUUGAUCUGAUUUUGUGGACCAUCCAUUUCCAAUUGGGAAGCUCACUUACUUUCAACUUGAAGCAUCAGAAAACCAGACUUACAGCAGCUUCAGCCUAUAGGGGUUUAUUUUUCUCAUGUAACAAGAAGAACAGAAGUGGACAGAGGCCGAGUUCUCAAGGACUCAGUUUCUUUCUGUCCCACCAACCUUACCAUGUUGGAUUGUCAUCUUUGUGCUUGUUGCCUCAUGAUGGCAAGAUGGCUGCAGCACCUCUGGGACUCACGACUGAUUUUUAAGACUACAGAGCCUAAGUCAAAGCUUGUUCUUGGACCCAGGAAAUAUGUCAAAUCCUUCCAGUGAAUGGUGCCUUUCAGGAUUGGAGACUACUCCCCCAGUUGCUGAUGGUGUGGUCAGCCCUCAGUUUUCAGUCCUCUUUGGGAAUUGCCUUGGAUGAAGAAAGUCACCUCACCCAAGAUCACUCCAACUCCUGGGACCCACAUCCAAUGAUUGGCCAAUAUGGGGACUCAAAGGCCUGGUCCCCCUUCCCCAACUUGAGACUACUCUGAAGGAUCACCCAGCUUCAGAGCUUCCCAUGGUUGAGACUUUUAGACUUCACUGUGGUCCAACCAAUCUCUUCCUAUACACGGUCCUGACUCCUUCACUUCCCUCCCAGCACUUCUUCUGUGUUAAUAUCAAACUUCUGUGCUAAUAACAAACUUCUUCCGUGCUAAUAUCUCUCAGUGUCUCCUUCCCUGGGAACUCAACCCUAGAUUGUUUAUACCAGC
rnacentral:lncRNA from 10 species